UUGCCUACGGGACGCAGCAGUGGGAGAUAUUGCACAAUGGGGGGAACCCUGAUGCAGCGACGCCGCGUGAGCGAAGAAGUACCUCGGUAUGUAAAGCUCUAUCAGCAGGGAAGAAAAUGACGGUACCUGACUAAGAAGCCCCGGCUAAAUACGUGCCAGCAGCCGCGGUAAUACGUAUGGGGCAAGCGUUAUCCGGAUUUACUGGGUGUAAAGGGAGCGCAGGAGGCCUGCCAAGUCUGAUGUGAAAACCCGGGGCCCAACCCCGGGCCUGCAGUGGAAACUGGCGGGCUGGAGUGUCGGCGUGG
rnacentral:rRNA from 1 species